rnacentral:rRNA from 1 species
AAUCAACGCUGGCGGCGUGCCUAACACAUGCAAGUCGCACGAGAAAGGGACUUCGGUCCUGAGUAAAGUGGCGCACGGGUGAGUAACACGUGAAUCAUCUACCUUCGAGUGGGGAAUAACUGAGAGAAAUCUUAGCUAAUACCGCAUAAUACCUACGGGUCAAAGCAGCAAUGCGCUUGAAGAGGAGUUCGCGGCAGAUUAGUUAGUUGGCGGGGUAAUGGCCCACCAAGACGAUGAUCUGUAUCCGGCCUGAGAGGGCGCACGGACACACUGGAACUGAAACACGGUCCAGACUCCUACGGGAGGCAGCAGUGGGGAAUUUUGUCGCAAUGGGGGAAACCCGUGACGCAGCAACGCCGCGUGGAGGAUGAAAUCCCUUGGGAUGUAAACUCCUUCGAUCGGGAAGAUAAUGACGGUACCGAGAGAAGAAGCCCCGGCUAACUUCGU